GUGAGGAGAAAAGUGGCAAAUGAGGGGAAAAGGGGUGAGUGAAGGAGAAAAAGGGGAGUGAGGGGGAAGAGGAUGAAGGGGAAAGGGACAAGUUGGGAAAAAGCAAGUGGGGGACAGGUGGUGAGAGGGAAAAGUGGAGAGUGAGGGAGAAAAGGGAGCGAGUGAGGGGAAAAGGGACAAGUGAUGAGGAAAUUAGGUGAAUGAGGGGAAGGGUUGAGUGUGGGGGAAAGGGACAAGUGUGAGGAAAAGGGGUAAGGGAGGAAAAUGGGGGAGUGAGAGGCGGAAAGGGGAGAGUGAGGAGGGGAAAGGGAAUGAAUGAGGGGCAAGGCAAAGGGCUGGGUGAGAAGGAAAGGGUCUCUCCCCGUGCAUCGAUCCGGAAAAAGACACCAAAUAAAGCUUGGCCGGGAUCUCCCGAAGCCCCGGGGAGUGUAAGGGCUCUUCAGGGCACUGUUUCAUCAGGCAACAAUAAAAACACCAUCAUUCUUCCGACAUCUUCCUCCCAAACACCCCCUCUGGCACCUUUUGAUAAGAAGCACUGGAUGUUUUGCAGCCACCAAGGCCAAGGGCUGUGUUCUGGGAAGGUCUGGAACUGUGCAGAAAACGGGAUCUCUGGGAGCAGGGUGCCCUGUGCCCCCACACAGUGGCUGUGGUGCCAGCUGGGGUUUGCCUCCAUCUCUGCUCAGUCACUGGCAGCACGUUUCAUAGCCAUUCAUUAAUGUAUUUAUUUUACUUAUAUAUUAUUAUUUCUUAAUAAAUAAUAAAUUAUUAUAAGUUAAUUUAUAAUAAAGUAUCUUAGUUGUUGUGGU